UGUGGCUAGAGAACGGAGCGCACUUUC
rnacentral:piRNA from 1 species